UGCCUUUAUGUAUUGCCCAUUCAUUGCUUGCAAUAAUGAAUGUGGUGUCAACAAAGGCAUAGAAAAUGCUUGAGUCGGCCUUAGCAAGGUCCCUCUGGUUACCUUGUUCUAGGUUCAACUCCUAGUACAAAA